UGAACGCUAGCUACAGGCUAACACAUGCAAGUCGAGGGGCAGCAGAUCGAUAGCUUGCUAUGAUGCUGGCGACCGGCGCACGGGUGAGUAACGCGUAUCCAACCUUCCCUAUAGUAGAGGAUAGCCCGGCGAAAGUCGGAUUAAUACUCUAUGUUUUCCAAUGCAGACAUCUAAGUUGGAACAAAAGGUUUACCGCUAUAGGAUGGGGAUGCGUCUGAUUAGGUUGUUGGCGGGGUAACGGCCCACCAAGCCUACGAUCAGUAGGGGUUCUGAGAGGAAGGUCCCCCACAUUGGAACUGAGACACGGUCCAAACUCCUACGGGAGGCAGCAGUGAGGAAUAUUGGUCAAUGGGCGAGAGCCUGAACCAGCCAAAAGUAGCGUGCAGGAUGACGGCCCUAUGGGUUGUAAACUGUCUUUUAGUACGGGGAUAAAGUGAGGGACGUGUCCCUUUUUGUAGGUACCGUAUGAAUAAGGACCGGCUAAUUCCGUGCCAGCCGCAGC
rnacentral:rRNA from 1 species